AUGGCCACGGCACAAAGACUUCUCAUCACUAUGUCCUGCAAUGCCAGCACUCACCGGACGUUGCCUGCGUUCCUUCUCCUGGGUUUGCUAGCCGGGAUUGCUGCCACACACCCAGCUGUAAGCAGAACUAAUGGCACAUUGCUGGAGAGAGGAUGGCAAUCUCUGCUGUCCAGGUCCAUGGCUGGGAUGUCAGGGGAGAAGGCAGAUGUGAACUGGGAGAGUGACUAUUUGCUAGGAAUCAAGAGGCAGCGGAGGCUUUACUGCAACGUGGGCAUCGGGUUUCACCUUCAAAUCCUCCCAGACGGAAGGAUAAGCGGAGUUCACAAUGAAAACCAAUACAGUCUCUUUGAAAUAUCCACUGUAGAAAGAGGAGUUGUAAGUCUGCUCGGUGUGAAAAGUGCUCUCUUCAUUGCAAUGAACAGCAAAGGCAGGUUGUAUGGGACGGCUGUUUUCCAUGAUGAGUGCAAAUUCAAGGAAACCUUGCUGCCCAAUAACUACAACGCAUAUGAAUCCAAUGUUCACCACGGCGCUUACAUAGCCCUGAGCAAACACGGCAGGGUGAAGAGAGGGAACAAGGUUUCUCCUGCCAUGACAGUGACCCACUUCUUACCAAGAAUAUGAGCACCAGCAAAACAGAAGAUUAAAUCCCAGGACAAGCUGUUUCGUUUUGCACAUGGGGAAUAACCUCCCAGAGAAAAAUGCAAGCUGGAGUGCAAAGGAAGUUUUUGGAAGAUGAAGAAUGGCUGUGGGUAACCAUCUAAUCAAUCAUAGGUGAUUUACUAAAUAUUAUUUACCUCAGAUAAUAACCUCUUGUAGUGAACUGUUUACAUAUCAUGGGCCAAAUCACCAGAUGAUUUUGCUUCACCAGAGCUUCAGGCAGUUCACUCCAUCUGAAUAUCUGCCUGUACCCCCCU